GUGCUUGCUUUGGGAGCACAUAUAAAAAGUUAGAAUGAUACGGAGAAGGUUAACAUGGUUCCUGUACAAGGACAAAAUGCAAAUUUGUUAUGUGUUCCAUAUUUUA